CCCCCCUCUGUGAUCCUCUUAUUGCUCCACGAAGAACGAGAAAGCGUGCGCGCGAUUUCGCGAUUUUAGGGUUAGGGUUUUCUCCAUCUCCGGCCCUCUCUUCCUCCUUUCGAUCGGGUUUUCCAUCCCGAACGUCUGCAAGGCCCGAUCGGGCCGCCGGCAUCCCCCUACUCCGUUUGAUGCAUGGAUUCCGGCCCCCUUCCCGCCGCUACCGCGGACGACGGCGUCGGUGAGAGUCGCCGGUGGGCCGACUGCAAGGUAUAUACGCGGAGGAACCGUACCAAGAAGAACACUCCAAGCGCGGUCCAGGAUCCGCAGCCGUCAUCCCGAGAAACCCUAGCCGAGAACCCUCAGCCCUCACCCGUCGGAACCUUAGAUGAAAACCCUCAGCCGUCAUCCCGAGAAACCCUAACGACGACAAAGACCAAGGACGACCUUCAAUCCUCCCUCCAUCAGCCUCCGGCGGCGGAACCUCCUUCUGGACAUCAGCCUCUGGUCAGUCUCCACCCCGUGUCGGAUAACGAACCCUUCAGCCUCAAUCGUCCAUGCCCGGAGGGGACGAUCGUGCUUGACAUCAAGGCCUCCGCCCCUCACGAAAAUGGCUCGUUGGAGAACGGGAGAGACGAACCAUCGCAGCUGGAGUUACUGAAGAUCCGGCAGAAGCUCCUCGCUGAUCUCGCUCAGGUGAGGGAUCUUUUCAAGAGGCUUGAGGCCCGUCAGAUUGAGCUCUUUGCUGUGCAUGUGGAUGGUGAUGGUGGAGCUCCUUCUCAAUUCUCAGCUAAUCAUGGGAAUACUACUAUGUCAGGAAAGAGAGCACCAGCCCUUGUUGAAGCUGAUUCGGUGGACCCUCCCGCAGCACAUUCCUAUUUUGACAUCCCAGUGCCUCCCAAUGUCAGUGGAAAGAAUAGCAUAGCUAACUCGAUGCUGGUGGAUGAGGUAUUUUCUGUCCCUGCUGCAGGUGGUACCGGUGCCCGUUCUCAACUUUCUGUGAACCAUGCGACAUCACCUGUGGCAAUUCAGAGAGCACCUGUUGUCUUUGAUGCUCUUCCAAACAGUCCCGCUCUUCUCCCCUUUCGUCCCCGGCUCAGCAUCAUAGUGCCACAUGGUGCUGGUACUAGGAAUAACAUCAGUGAAUUGCCCUUACAGAAGGAGAAGAGAACACCUAAGGCCAACCAAUACUUUCAUAGUUCAGAUUUCAUUUUGGGUAAGGAUAAGAUUCCUCCUCCACCAUCUCUGAAGAAGUCCAAGACCAGCAAAAGCAAGAAGAAUUUUACAGAAUCAGAUUAUAAGACAUCGCCUGAAAAGAAAGUAUAUACUAGUGCCUUCAAGAGCUGUCGGGCAUUGCUGGAGAAGCUCAUGAAGCACAAGUUUGGAUGGGUGUUUAAUAAACCAGUAGAUGUUGAUGGUCUUGGUCUCUAUGAUUAUUUCUUGAUCAUUAAGCACCCGAUGGACCUUGGCACUGUAAAAUCUCGCCUUGCUGAUCAUUUCUAUGAAACUCCAGAAGAAUUUGCAGAAGAUGUCAGACUUACUUUCAGGAAUGCAAUGACGUAUAAUCCUGAUGGCCAGGAUGUUCAUUUCAUGGCACGGGAGAUGUCCAACAUCUUUGAGGAACGGUGGCUUGUGAUUGAGACUGAGUUUACAGAUCAAUUGCACCACUUAUAUUCAGUCAAUAAGAAAAGGGCUCCUCCUUUAAGGGGAACUAUGGAAAGGUCAGACUCCACAGUGCAUCCGAUAGUUGUUGAUUUGCGAAAAGAACAAAAUCAGUAUCACCAUUUUGACCGGCCUAUUGCUUUGAAGAAACCAAAGGCUAAAGACUUGUACAAGAGGGAGAUGACAUUGAAGGAGAAGCAAACUUUAAGUCGUCACUUGGAGAGUCUGCCGCCGGAAAAGUUGGAUUUGGUUGUGGAAAUUAUUAAGAAGAGGAACUUUGCUUUGAGUCAACAUGAUGAUGAGAUUGAAGUGGAUAUUGAUAGUGUGGACACAGAUACGCUCUGGGAACUUGAUAGAUUUGUGUCAAAUUAUAAGAAGACAUUAAGUAAGCACAAAAGGAAGGCAGAGCUAGCGAUGCUGGCUAGGGCUGAGGCAGAGCACCUCAGCCAAGAAAGAAUGAAUGGAGAGGGUCCUGAUCCAGUUGCUUCAUCAGCACAGCAAACUGACGAAGCAAUGCAAGACCAGAAUGAUGUUGCUGCUCAUCUAGUUGUUGGAGGAGUGAACAAUGGCAAUGAUGCAAUUGGAUCAAGUAGUUCCAGUGGAUCUAGCAGUGAUUCAAGCUCGGAUAGUGACUCUGACAGUGGAAGCUCCUCGUCAUAUGAAUCAGAUGCGCCACAUUGAUCCUGAAGAGAAAUAAAAUAGCUUCUACGGAAGAUAUAUCAAAGCUCUGUGAAUGUGUGGACGAAUUGCUUCCCAAGUUUUUCCCGUGAAUUUGCCUAAAAAAAGAGUCGAACAGUUGGAGGUAUUGGUUGCGCGUUUCCUGAACGUGAGAAUUGAAAAUGUUGGGCUACUGGUGUCGACCCUCUGCGGUUUGAGGUUCUAUUUAAAUGUGUAAUAAACUUUCUUAUGAAAAACUAGCUAAUCCAUGAUUUUCUUGCAAUUAUGUGUGCAUUGCACUUGUAACCUCGGAGACAAAUCCUCAUUUUUGAAUUGGUUGUGCAAGUUUA